rnacentral:lncRNA from 1 species
UGUUAAUUCUGCCUAGAACUGGAACUAAGGAAGCAGUCUUUUAGUGAGGAAAAAUUGAACAGAAAUUACACUACGAUCAGAGCUGCACAGCACUGGAAAACAAAGGACUGCUUUUGCUCAGUGCCCUGGAAAACAGCUUACCUCCCAUGAGUGAAGUUUACAACUGAGUCAGGUAAUUGAACUGAAUAUCAACCACUGCAUGAAUAGCAGCAAAUACCUGGCAGAUGUAUGAGAAAAAGUUAUUUCCUGAGCAACCUGCAACAGAGAAAACAGUGAUCCCAGGACAGUUCCACAAUCCAUGGCUAAUGCUGUAGUAGCAUCUGCAGUAUGUCACUGCAAUCACACACAGCAAAGCCAGCAAGUGCCAGAGCCAGCAGCGGCAGAAGGCUCCAUUCCCGAGCACCGGCGGCUUCUCGGCGCUAAUGAGGCGGCGGCUGCUGCAGCAGGUGCCGCUCCUCUCCUCACGGCCACGGCUCCCGCUGCGGGGCUCGGGGGGCUCGGGGGACGCGGGGCUGCUGCAGGAGCAGCGAGCGUACUGCCAGCUGCACGGCUGGAAAAGCCGCAGCACCCCUGCGAGCUGCUCCUGCUCUCCCGGGGGGGAACACACACGCUGAGGGGCUCAGGCCGAGGGCGGGCCCGGCUGGGCCCCGAGCGCCGCCUCCUGCGGCCCUGCCAGCCAGCGAGCGGCCUGCGCAAACACCGGCGGCGGCGCAGCUGCUGCCGCCAGCGCCGGGGAAAACAAGCCAUUAAAUAGCUGAUCUAUCAAGUUUAAGCUAGAUGCCAAAGCAGAAAUAAACGUCUGUUAGACUGCCUAUUUUGUUUGGUU